GUCCACGCCCUAAACGAUGUCAACUGGUUGUUGGGUCUUCACUGACUCAGUAACGAAGCUAACGCGUGAAGUUGACCGCCUGGGGAGUACGGCCGCAAGGUUGAAACUAAAAGGAAUUGACGGGGACCCGCACAAGCGGUGGAUGAUGUGGUUUAAUUCGAUGCAACGCGAAAAACCUUAACCCACCUUUGACAUGUACGGAAUUUGCCAGAGAUGGCUUAGUGCUCGAAAGAGAGCCGUAACACAGGUGCUGCAUGGCUGUCGU
rnacentral:rRNA from 1 species